AUGGAAAAACCGGUUAGUCCAGUAGGUAGAUUGAAAAAUGCUAUCGAUGAAUGGAGAUUAAUCACAGGUGAUACAUAUAAUUGAUGUUAUACAAAACGGGUAUAAGAUACCUUUCAGAACAGAACCAGAUCAUAAAAUUAUUAGAAAUAACAGAUCAUCUCUUGAUAACGCAAGUUUUGUUAAGUCAGAAAUUGAAACUUUGCUGUCAAAAGGUUGUAUAUCAGAGGGAAAUGAGAUACCUUGUGUAGUUAAUCCUUUGACCGUUGCUUUUAAUAAAUCGAGCAAACCCAGGUUGGUAUUGGAUUGUAGACACAUCAAUCCUCAUUUAUUUAAAUUUAGAUUUAAAUAUGAAGACACAAAGUUAGCAAGGGAAAUUUUUCACCAACAUGAUUUUCUAUAUGGCUAUGAUUUAAAAAGUGCUUAUCACCAUAUUGAGAUUGUUGAAUUGCACAGAGAAUAUUUAGGUUUUGCAUGGGAGAUAGAUGGUGCAAACAGAUAUUUCGUUUUUAAUGUCUUGCCAUUCGGAUUGGCUACUGCUGGUUACAUAUUUACCAAAGUUCUCAGAGAAGUUGUAAAGUAUUUCAGAUCUAAAGGCACACAAAUUAUUAUGUUUUUAGAUGAUGGUUUGGGAGGUGGUAAAGAUUUUGAAUCUUGUCAAAAAAGUAGUCAGUUUGUAAAAUUUCAACUUCAAAAGCUAGGUUUUCUAAUUGCACAUGAAAAAUGUGUUUGGGAUCCAUGCCAAAAAUUGAAAUGGUUAGGUUUCAUUUGGAAUACUGAAACUGGUAGAAUAUCUGUCAGUCCUGAGAGAAUAGAUAAAGCAGAGCAAACUGUAAACUAUAUACUUUCCGAGAUUGGGAGAGGUAAAGUUUUGUUAAAGGCUCGAAUUUUAGCGGGCAUAGUCGGUCAACUCAUAUCAAUGCAAAUAGUAUUUGGUGAUCUCGUGAGAUUGAGAACAAGAUUUUUAUAUGCUUGUGUUAACGGUAGAGCAAGCUGGGAGGCAUCUGUAAAAAUUACAUCAGAAGCUAUUGAUGAGUUAGAAUUUUGGAGAGUUUCUUGCAGAGCAAGGAAUAGUAAAGGUGUGAAUAUAAGCACAGUUAAUUUUCACGACAAUUUUGAUGUCGAUUUGUUUUGUGAUGCCUCAGAUGUAGGCUUUGGUGGUUUUUGUUCCACUUAUGAUCGUACCGAAGUAUUCGGUAACUGGGUAGGUAAUGAACCUUUUGAGAGUUCAACUUGGCGUGAACUUGAAUGCGUCAAGAGAAUUUUGUAUACUCAAGAUUCGUUGUUGGAGAACAAAUUAGUUCGAGUCAACAGUGACAAUCAAAAUGUUGCACGUAUUUUGACGGUGGGGAGCAGAAAUUUGUCACUACAAAAAACUGCGAUUAAUAUUUUAGAAUCUUGUGAUCAAAAAACAUUAAUAUUCAGACUCGCUGGGUCCCUCGGGCUCAGAAUGUGUAUAUGCAGAUCAACUUAGUCGUUAUACAGAUCACGAUGACUGGUCUUUAAACGAUGAAACAUUCAGUUUCUUAAACAAUAUUUGGGGUCCGUGUAGCAUAGACCGAUUUGCCACUCAUUACAAUACACAUUGUUCGCGUUUCAAUUCAGUUAUAUGGUGCCCAGGAACUGAAGCAGUUGACAGUUUUAGUCAAUAUUGGGGAAAUGACAACAAUUGGUUGGUACCCCCACCUUCUUUGAUUGCAAAAACAGUAAACAAAAUGUGCAAUGAGCGUGCUAAUGGUAUUUUGGUUAUACCAGAAUGGAAAUCGGCGCAUUUUGGCCUUUACUUUGUGCACAAGAAAUUUUUAAGAGUUUUGUUUCAGACGCUAUUUAUCUUACAAAUGACAAAGUUAUAGUGAAGGGUGCCGGUAAAAACGGCAUUUUCGGGAAAAUGGCCACUUAAAUUUAGGUUGAUAGCUUUAAAUAUUAUGUUCUAAUGAUCCAUAUUUGCGAUUUUCAGGCUUAGGACUGAGGCAACAUGUUGUGGAGAUUGUAGAGAAGAGUACUGUAGGAUGUUCGGGUGAACUUGGAAAAUUAGCAGAAAAGAUGUCGGUUUAUCUUAUCCAGUCUAAAAGUGACAAUACUACAAAAAAGUACUUUGCUAGUUAUAAUCGUUGGAGAUCUUUUGCUCAAGGAUAUGGUUUUAACGAAUUACCAGCAGAUCCGAUUCAUGUUUCAUUGUUUUUAACUUUAUUGAUUGACAAGAAGUCAUCACCUUGUACUUUAGAUUCGAUAAUAUAUGCUUUAAAGUGGGUACAUGAGCUUUAUGGUUACGUUGAUCCUACAAAUAACGCUUACAUUCAUUCGUUAGCUCAAUCAUGUAAAAGAUUAAAUGGAAAACCAGUCGUAAAGAAGGACCCUGUUACCUCGGAUAUAAUACUUGAACUCUGUAAAAUUAAUGAAUUUGAAAAUGACUUGCUUAUUGUUAGAGAUUUGACUAUGAUUUUGAUAGGCUAUGCUGGAUUUUUGCGCUAUGACGAAUUAAGUUCUAUUACAUGUAGGGAUGUUAAGAUUUUUGAUGAUCAUAUUUCUAUUUUUCUGCCCCGGUCCAAGACCGAUCAAUACAGACAAGGUAACGAGAUACUUAUUUCUAGUGGUAACACUUUGGCAUGUCCAGUUGUUAUGUAUAAGCGAUACAUUUCACUUGCUAUUUUGGAUGUUAAUUCGGAUUAUUCUAUAUUUCGACCGAUUUUUAGGUCUAAGGGGUUAGCUAAGUUGAUAUAUAAGAAUAAGAAGUUAAGCUAUGCAGCCACAAAAGGAGAAUAUUGUACGUAG
rnacentral:sRNA from 1 species